GAUGAACGCUGGCGGCGUGCCUAAUACAUGCAAGUCGAGCGAACAGACGAGGAGCUUGCUCCUCUGACGUUAGCGGCGGACGGGUGAGUAACACGUGGAUAACCUACCUAUAAGACUGGGAUAACUUCGGGAAACCGGAGCUAAUACCGGAUAAUAUAUUGAACCGCAUGGUUCAAUAGUGAAAGACGGUUUUGCUGUCACUUAUAGAUGGAUCCGCGCCGCAUUAGCUAGUUGGUAAGGUAACGGCUUACCAAGGCAACGAUGCGUAGCCGACCUGAGAAGGUGAGCGGCCACACUGGAACUGAGACACGGUCCAGACUCCUACGGGAGGCAGCAGUAGGGAAUCUUCCGCAAUGGGCGAAAGCCUGACGGAGCAACGCCGCGUGAGUGAUGAAGGUCUUCGGAUCGUAAAACUCUGUUAUUAGGGAAGAACAAAUGUGUAAGUAACUAUGCACGUCUUGACGGUACCUAAUCAGAGAGCCACGGCUAACUACGUG
rnacentral:rRNA from 1 species